CUUAAAUUGAAGAGUUUGAUCAUGGCUCAGAUUGAACGCUGGCGGCAGGCCUAACACAUGCAAGUCGAGCGGAAACGAGUU
rnacentral:rRNA from 5 species